rnacentral:rRNA from 2 species
UCUCGGUCAUCUGAGCGGCGUGGAACUACCUCUUCCCAUUCCGAACAGAACCGUAAAACGCGCCAGCGCUGACAAUAGCUGGGGGGCAACCCUCCGUGAAGAUAGGUCAUGGCCGAGAA